rnacentral:lncRNA from 1 species
UUUCAGUGGUGAGGAUCUGAAAAAAAAAUGUAAAUAACGGGUAUGAGCUUCACAGCUCAGUAAGUAAUCAUACAUAAUCUUACUGGAUCGAACAUAAUGGUAACCAUGUUUAUGCAGGGUUUGAGAAGCUGACAUGCGUAUUAUCUCACAAUUUAUCAUGGCAAAAUAUGUAUGCUUGGAAAACAAAGCAGUAUUUUUAGUCAAACAGAAUUUUCAUAAAACAUGCACAUGAAACCGUGCCCCCGGCAUGCCGUGCUCCAUUCUCUCGGAUGCUACUGCGAAGUCCAUUCGGCCACUGGCGGGGCCAGCUAGUCAUUCUCGGCCACUAGCAAGGCCAGCGAAGU